AGCAUGAUUAUGAGUACAGGUGUGUGACGGAGUUCACCACGCACACACGCGUGACCACGCCCACAGCGUUUUGCCAACACACUUCCUAGGUAACAGAGCAGCUGAUCUACACCUGAUUCAUUCUUCCACGCGCGGACAUUAUGAGUCUGUUUGGCUGGUGUUUCCUGGUCAGUGCAGUUUAGUUUUGUUUACUGAAGUGAGUGGAAAGGCAGAACUUAGAUGAAAAGAUUCAGCUGUAAAUAAAAGAGGAAAUAAAUACAUUCAGCUGGUGAUUUAAGACUGGAUCCUGCUCAUCAAAAUCUGCUUUACCGUCACUGAUGUCACAGACCGUCGUGCUGUCGUUGUAUCGCCAAUGCAGAGUCUGCAGCUUCUGUCCAAGUGAACACGGUAAGUGAACGGUUUCUCCUGUAAAACCUUCAACAGGGACACUCUGCACUGACACUGAAAGGGGGAAAAAAUCGAAAACACAGCAAAUCUCAAUAAUAUAAAUACAAAUGUGUGCAUCAGGUACAUCAACACUAUAUAUAAAAAGCUUCAUGCACUUUUGCAAUAAUAUCACAUUCACACUAUUCGAGACGUCACUCUAUAGGACUGGUGUAAGUUUCAUUCAAGCCAAUUGUCUGAAUUUGUUGCUUAUUGCAUUGAACUGAGAAAAGUCUCAUUGUUUUAUGUUCUUGAAAUCACAGAGUUAAUGUUGAGCACAUAAAUAGAAAAUGAGCAGUCAUUUCCUGCUUAACGUUCUCCACAUUCAAUCAUAGAACUGUUGAAUCUUCAUGUCUAGACCCACUGAUGCUCACAUUUCAGUAAUUAAUAUAAUAACAAAUUUCACUUUUCCAUACAGUACACACACCUGCUUACUGCGGUGUGAAACGCUCACCUGUGUGUAUCAGAAGCAGGAAGGUGAAGAAAAUCCAGCUGUAAUGGAGAAAAAAACAAAGAGGUGGAACAGCAGAAUAAAUUCACAGUAUGAUCACUGUAUAAUGGAGUUAUAAAUGAGUUUAAUUUGUGAAUUCGGGAAACUAGAAGGAAUGUUCAAAAAUCAGUAAAUAAAAUAAAAGUAAUAAAAAUAAAAGUAAAUAAAAUAGAAAUAAACAGAACACUGAUAUUCACAAAAAUGUAAGGUCCCUUGGUAACAAACCCUCCAAAAUAGGAGGAACUUUAGUCAUGGCACCUGACAAUGCCUGAUUGCCAGAAUUUUUUUUAUAUUUAUUUAUUUAUUUUUAUUUGCUUUAAAAAAUAUUUAUUUUUACUAUUAAUUUUUUGAGUUCAAAGUUAUUAUUAAGAGGGAAAAAAUACAAACAAAUCUACGUGAGUAUAGUGACACUAUGAGGACAUUUUUUUUUAUUUUUAUCUGUUUAUUAUGGGAACAUCGUCUCAUCAUAGCGUAAUAAUGUUUCAUUAUCUACAACCUCUACGAGAUCUGAGUUGAACUGGUGAAACUGGCUGCAGGCCUGGCCCUCUCUGUAGACCGAAACCAUGCAAACAAACGCACCUCUAUGCAAACAAGAGUCAGGUGCACCCAGCUACACACACCCAAACAUACUCCUCCAUCUCGCUUUGUUCAGGAUCCGAAAGGGAAUGGAGCCUACCCCGACAGACAAGAUUUUUCAGUAGUGUGAUGUAGUACAUUUAUAUAAACCUCCCUUUGCUGUAAAUUCAGUAAUCACAUACUGCGUUAGUCUCUCAUUGUGUCAAUUUAAUGUACUUGUGAACAGUAAAACUUUACACUUAACACUAAUAAGCACCAGUUUCCAAAACAUGCUCACUAGUAAUAAAUAAAUAAAUAAAUAAAAUCAGUGAGGGUGGAGAUUUCACAAUAAAUGAAAAUCUGCUUAAGUUUUGCAAAUAGGACAAAAAGACAAAAAAGAAAAGGACUUCCUUCUGCUACCAAGACCCGAGAGCAGCAGCAAUAAAUUUUCGGUCGUACAGGGAAUUAAAGGGACUCAUCACUAGAGUGUGACUGAACUUCAGUUAUAAACUUGAAACAAACCAACACAAAUGAAAUGGUCAGAACUUUGUGUCUACUGUUUAAACUGCCAAUACAUUCAAAGUCCAAGACUUUACAUGAGCGUAAAAUAUUGGUUAGAGGGGUGUGCCUACCUUCUUAUUCCCAUUACACUGGAAUACAUGUUUUUUUU